rnacentral:rRNA from 1 species
UACGUAGGGUGCAAGCGUUAAUCGGAAUUACUGGGCGUAAAGCGUGCGCAGGCGGUUCGGAAAGACAGAUGUGAAAUCCCAGAGCUUAACUUUGGAACUGCAUUUUUAACUACCGAGCUAGAGUGUGUCAGAGGGAGGUGGAAUUCCGCGUGUAGCAGUGAAAUGCGUAGAUAUGCGGAGGAACACCGAUGGCGAAGGCAGCCUCCUGGGAUAACACUGACGCUCAUGCACGAAAGCGUGGGGAGCAAACAGG